GAAGUAAAAAUAAAUCUCCCAUAUUUGAGAUGUCUCUGUGGGAGUCAUGUACAUUGAGGUGAAAGUUGAAACCAGGAGACAAGAGCUACCUAGGAGGAAAAGAAGGCAAAGACAUUAAUUACAUCACUGGAAGAAAUGGGAAAGCACCUGCAUAUUGUCACAGUUGUCAAGAGAUGGGGUUUUGAUGUUGUUGUUGUAGAGUUUGUUGUUGGGUUUUUUUUGUUUUGGUUUGGUUUUUUUGUUUGUUUGUUUGUUUGGUUGGUUGGUUGGUUUUGGUUUUGGUUUUUUCGAGACAGGGUUUCUCUGUGUAGCCCUGGCUGUCCUAGAACUCACUUUGUACACCAGGCUGGCCUUGAACUCAGAGAUUCGCCUGCCUCUGCCUCCCAAGUGCUGGGAUUAAAGGCGUGUGCCACCACCACCCGGCUUUCGUUUUGUUUUUAAGGUUUGUGAUGUUUAGUUUUGAUCUUUUCAAGACCGAGUUUCUCUGUAUAGCCCUAGAACUCUCUCUCUGUAAACCAGGCUAGUCUUAAACUCAAAGGUCUGCCUGUCUCUGCCUCCCAUGCUUUGGAACUAAAAGUAUGAGCUGCCACCACCCAGCCUUUACUUUAAAGGUAAGUUUUCAAGUUUUUGUUAAUUUCACUAUGGAAGUUCAGUGUAGGCGUAGCUCCCAAGGAGAUAGCUUUAAUAAGAACACAAAUAAGGCCUAAUGCUGGAAGGAAAAAAUAAGAGAAAGAAAAGUAUCAUAGGUUAAGAGAAAAACCACAUUACUUUACAACUAAAAAGCUACCAAUGAUAUUAAAGAACUAGGAGCCAAGAAAAAUAACAUCUUAAAUUUGUAAUCCUCCUGACUCAGCUUCUUGAAUGGUUGGUAGAAUUACAGGUACAGAGCCAGCAAAGUCAUAUAUAUAUAUGCCGUGUUUCUAUUCAAAAAGAAAUGACAAUGUCACCCUGAUCUCAUCUGUUUCGUGUGCUAUUCAUAUACUCAGCGCCCAGUCAAUGGUAGCAGUAACAAACACUGUUAUCUCUAGGUGCAGAUGCACACUGGAAGAAUUCAAGUACCAAAGUAUAAAUAAAUAAAAGAAAUCACUAAGACAAAGCCAAUUCUGUGUCUUAACUGAAAAUCUCAUUCACUGUCAACACAGGCUUUUUUAUUACCUCUAUAAUCCCUGCAGACAUGGAUUCUCAUUCAUGACUCUUAAAGCCUAAGAAGUAGAUCAGAGGCCUACAUCCAGGUGCUGUUGUCACAAUUAUACAGUCAUGGAUGAGUCACUUAAAAAAAUAAUACUUACACCAGGAAAGCUCCAGUAACUCAGCUGUUACUAGCUGGAUGGAACGUUGAGGGCUCUGCCUCUGUCACCUCUUACUUCCUAGCUCUGCUACCCAAGACUGACGACAAAGUGGGGCUUCCAGUUUCUUUUCUGUGAGAGUUCGGGAAAUUUUCAGAUAACGGAAGGGUGAAACCCCUAUGCUCGGACCUCAAGAUGAUAGUAAUGAUUCCACACAGAUUAAACUUGUCUGGGCAUUCUUCCAGCUAAAUCAUUUCUUUCCCAUGUGAUUAACCUUGUGUGGUUAAACAAGGUAACAUAGCAUCCAUGCAGUUUAGAAUUUUUAUGAAGACAAAUUUGGGGUUUCUUUCAAAAUCUUCCUGAGAUGAAGAUUCUGAGAUGGUUUAUAUCUAUAAAGUGGAAGCUGACCCACCUCGUAGUCUUCAGGUUCAAAGAAGAGAGGGAGGAAGACAAUUUUGUGUCCUCCCUCCCUCCUUGUUUGUUUUUGUUUGCUUGAUGUGUUUUGUUGUUUGUUGGUUUGUUUUUGAGACAAUCUUGCUGUAUAUCCCAGGCCAGGCUGUUACAUCACAGGCCCCCAACAUGUGAUCUUCUUUGUCUAGUGAGGGCUAGUGUUCAGGUGUAUGUCAUUACAUCCAGAUACUGACUUUUUUUUUAAAGUCCAAGUUUUUGUUGCUGUUUUGUUUGUUGAUUGGUUUUCAUUAUAUUUAUUUAGGGGUGUACAGGUAUAUCACAAUACUUGUGGGGAAUGGGAGAACAACUUGCAGAAAUUGAUUCUCUCCUUCUACCAAGUGGAUUCUAGGAUGAAACUCAGCUCAUCAGGCAUAGUGGCAAAUAGCUGCACUGCUGAGACCCUAAUGUCCAGCUUUUUUUCCUAAAAACAUUGUGCACAUUUUUACAAGAAAUAGAAUGCAUUAGGUAUUAUGGAGAAUACAGAUGAUCUAGAUUUUUCUUUCAAUAAUGUAAAUAGAAAUACAUACACACAUGAUUCACAUAUACCACACAAACAUGUUGACAUUUAAAAGAAUGUAUUGCCUGGGGACAUAGCUCAGUUGGUGAGUACUUGCCUAAUCUGUAGGAAAGUUUGGGAUUGAUCCCCAGCAUCACAUAAACCACGUAUGGUAGUACACACCUGUAUUCAGGACUCAGGAGGUAGGGGCAGGGUCAGAAGUUCAAGGUUGAGCUGGUGAGAUGGCCACAGGGUAAAGGCAUUAGUUGCCAAACCUAAUGGAUCAAACCUGAGUUUGAUCACCAAGACCUACAUGGCAGGAGAGAAGUGACUCCUACAUGUUGUUCUCUGGCCUUCACAUGCAUACACAUAUGCAUGCAUACAUACAUACAUUUUAAAAUUAAAAAUGGGUUUUGAGGUCUAGGCUACAUGAGACCUUAUAUCAAUAGAAAG
rnacentral:lncRNA from 1 species